rnacentral:rRNA from 1 species
AUGCUUGGCGGCAAGAGUCCGAAUUGUAGGAUCGUCGGCGUUGGUGUGCACUACACCAACGAAGAUGAACCUCCCCAGAUGGCAGCAGUCCUGCAGUUGUGCGUCGAGGAGCUCUGCUUGGUGUACCACAUCGCAGCGGCCACAAAAUGGCCCAAGCGCCUGACCGAGAUGCUGCAGCAUGAGAAGUCGGUCAUAUUUGCCGGUUUCAACAUUGAAAGCGACAAAGAGAAGCUGAAGUUGUCCGGUAUGGAGAUCAACCCCAACAAGUUCAUCGACAUUCAGCGCAAGUGGAGAGUUCCAUACACCGGAAAAGAGUACGACUCCUUGAUAGAUGUUGCAGCCACCGUCAUCCACCCAUUCUACAAAGGCAUGAAGAAGAAGAUCAACACACAGGAAGACUACAAACUGUGGGGGACCAGCCCGCUACAGGACAACCUCAUCGAGUACGCAUGA